rnacentral:rRNA from 1 species
ACCUGCGGAGGGAUCAUUACCGAGUUUACAACUCCCAAACCCCUGUGAACAUACCACUUGUUGCCUCGGCGGAUCAGCCCGCUCCCGGUAAAACGGGACGGCCCGCCAGAGGACCCCUAAACUCUGUUUCUAUAUGUAACUUCUGAGUAAAACCAUAAAUAAAUCAAAACUUUCAACAACGGAUCUCUUGGUUCUGGCAUCGAUGAAGAACGCAGCAAAAUGCGAUAAGUAAUGUGAAUUGCAGAAUUCAGUGAAUCAUCGAAUCUUUGAACGCACAUUGCGCCCGCCAGUAUUCUGGCGGGCAUGCCUGUUCGAGCGUCAUUUCAACCCUCAAGCACAGCUUGGUGUUGGGACUCGCGUUAAUUCGCGUUCCUCAAAUUGAUUGGCGGUCACGUCGAGCUUCCAUAGCGUAGUAGUAAAACCCUCGUUACUGGUAAUCGUCGCGGCCACGCCGUUAAACCCCAACUUCUGAAUGUUGACCUCGGAUCAGGUAGGAAUACCCGCUGAACUUAAGCAUAUCAAAGUCGGAGGAA